rnacentral:rRNA from 1 species
UGGGGAAUAUUGCACAAUGGGCGCAAGCCUGAUGCAGCGACGCCGCGUGGGGGAUGACGGCCUUCGGGUUGUAAACUCCUUUCGCUAGGGAAGAAGCUUUUUGUGACGGUACCUAGAUAAGAAGCACCGGCUAACGACGUGCCAGCAGCCGCGGUAAUACGUAGGGUGCGAGCGUUGUCCGGAAUUACUGGGCGUAAAGGGCUCGUAGGUGGUUUGUCGCGUCGUCUGUGAAAUUCCGGGGCUUAACUCCGGGCGUGCAGGCGAUACGGGCAUAACUUGAGUACUGUAGGGGUAACUGGAAUUCCUGGUGUAGCGGUGAAAUGCGCAGAUAUCAGGAGGAACACCGAUGGCGAAGGCAGGUUACUGGGCAGUUACUGACGCUGAGGAGCGAAAGCAUGGGUAGCGAACAGG